GAAAAAUAAAGUCUGUUUGAAAAAGCAGAACGGAACAUGAAGUGGCCAUGAGCAGGGUGCAGUCCUGUGGCUCUGUGCCCCACGGUGCCACCUGCAGGCCUCUGGGUGCCGGGACACUGCCCAUCCACUCAGGGUCAUCAGCACUGGAGGAGCCUCCCCAAUGCCCCAGCUCACCCUGUCUUCUUCCUGAGCGUCCGACGGUCAGCAGAAGUCAUCUGCUUGGAGCCAGAUAAAGGGCUCCUGCCUUUGACCCUCCUGACAAGCUCAUGAGGACCUGGGGGCCUGGGGAGGCCGGGCCAUUCUCCUGGGAUCAGUCAGCAGCGCUUGGUCGAUUUGGGGAAACGCUCUGAGUGACCUUGAUAAGAUCACAUGUUCUUCUGCUGAUGGGAGGAGGCUCUGUGGAGACCAAACCCUAUGGGGCUUUCCCUGACCUUUAUGCUCCGUUACCAAGGGAUAACUUCCCUGGACUGAAAUGCAGCUUUGACCUUCGUCAUUCACUUGUGUCUUUGACGAGAGCUGACUGGUGCUGAGCGUGUGCAGGUGCAGGGCAUGCCCUUGCUCUCCAAGAAGAAGGGGACGGGAGCAGUGAGGCUUCUUGGAGAAGACACGGCUUUAACUGGCCCAUGAUGGGGGCAGCGGCAUGUGUGAAAAGGAACCAAGGAGAGGGCAGAAACAAGAUGGGUUUGAGCACUGAGUGUCCGAACCAGUGCUGGCUCCAGCAGGGGUUCCCUAAUUGGGCUUCCUCUGUCACCUGCUCUAGGCUGGCAGGUUCCAAGCCCGCCACUCACUCAGCUGUGUGAUCAUGGCACUUCCCACGUACCUCAUUUGUGCUUCUGAGGAACUGACAGCUGCCCACAACCACGGAGCUGGUGUGUACACCAAUGCCAGCGUCCUUCCUGUAUCAUGGUGGGCUUGCCUCUGCCCCAUCCCAGGGGUGUUGUAGAGGUUGCACAUGAUUGGGCACACGGUGGCAGCUCACAAAUGCCCUGUACUGGCAGGUGCAGGGUGGAGGGGAAGCAAG
ensembl:lncRNA